AACAUCGCGCACCUGCGGGAACCUGCGGAAGGAUCAUUACAAGUGACCCCGGUUUACCACCGGGAUGUUCAUAACCCUUUGUUGUCCGACUCUGUUGCCUCCGGGGCGACCCUGCCUUCGGGCGGGGGCUCCGGGUGGACACUUCAAACUCUUGCGUAACUUUGCAGUCUGAGUAAACUUAAUUAAUAAAUUAAAACUUUCAGCAACGGAUCU
rnacentral:misc_RNA from 1 species